rnacentral:rRNA from 1 species
UACGUAGGGGGCUAGCGUUGUCCGGAAUCAUUGGGCGUAAAGCGCGUGUAGGCGGUUCGGUAAGUCCGCUGUGAAAGUCGGGGGCUCAACCCUCGAAUGCCGGUGGAUACUGUCGGACUAGAGUACGGAAGAGGCGAGUGGAAUUCCUGGUGUAGCGGUGAAAUGCGCAGAUAUCAGGAGGAACACCAAUUGCGAAGGCAGCUCGCUGGGACGUAACUGACGCUGAGACGCGAAAGCGUGGGGAGCAAACAGG